UGGAGAGUUUGAUCCUGGCUCAGGACGAACGCUGGCGGCGUGCUUAACACAUGCAAGUCGAACGAUGAAGCCGCUUCGGUGGUGGAUUAGUGGCGAACGGGUGAGUAACACGUGGGCAAUCUGCCCUGCACUCUGGGACAAGCCCUGGAAACGGGGUCUAAUACCGGAUAUGACACGGGAUCGCAUGGUCUCCGUGUGGAAAGCUCCGGCGGUGCAGGAUGAGCCCGCGGCCUAUCAGCUUGUUGGUGGGGUGAUGGCCUACCAAGGCGACGACGGGUAGCCGGCCUGAGAGGGCGACCGGCCACACUGGGACUGAGACACGGCCCAGACUCCUACGGGAGGCAGCAGUGGGGAAUAUUGCACAAUGGGCGCAAGCCUGAUGCAGCGACGCCGCGUGAGGGAUGACGGCCUUCGGGUUGUAAACCUCUUUCAGCAGGGAAGAAGCGCGAGUGACGGUACCUGCAGAAGAAGGACCGGCCAACUACGUGCCAGCAGCCGCGGUA
rnacentral:rRNA from 1 species